AUUGAACGCUGGCGGCAUGCCUUACACAUGCAAGUCGAACGGCAGCACGGGUGCUUGCACCAGGUGGCGAGUGGCGCACGGGUGAGUAAUACAUCGGAACAUGUCCUGUAGUGGGGGAUAGCCCGGCGAAAGCCGGAUUAAUACCGCAUACGAUCUACGGAUGAAAGCGGGGGACCUUCGGGCCUCGCGCUAUAGGGUUGGCCGAUGGCUGAUUAGCUAGUUGGUGGGGUAAAGGCCUACCAAGGCGACGAUCAGUAGCUGGUCUGAGAGGACGACCAGCCACACUGGGACUGAGACACGGCCCAGACUCCUACGGGAGGCAGCAGUGGGGAAUUUUGGACAAUGGGCGAAAGCCUGAUCCAGCAAUGCCGCGUGUGUGAAGAAGGCCUUCGGGUUGUAAAGCACUUUUGUCCGGAAAGAAAUCCUUGGCCCUAAUACGGUCGGGGGAUGACGGUACCGGAAGAAUAAGCACCGGCUAACUACGUG
rnacentral:rRNA from 1 species